CACGUAGGGUGCGAGCGUUGUCCGGAAUUAUUGGGCGUAAAGAGCUCGUAGGCGGUGUGUCGCGUCGGCCGUGAAAACCUGCAGCUUAACUGUGGGCUUGCGGUCGAUACGGGCAUCACUGGAGUUCGGCAGGGGAGACUGGAAUUCCUGGUGUAGCGGUGAAAUGCGCAGAUAUCAGGAGGAACACCGGUGGCGAAGGCGGCAUCCUGGACCGACAUUGACGCUGAGGCGCGAAAGCCAGGGGAGCAAACGGG
rnacentral:rRNA from 1 species